GCUGUUUAAUGGCGACCGAGCUGGGCUGAUGGCGAGACCCUUUACUCAGGCCUUUGAACCCUUUUCUUUCGCUUCUGGAAGACGAAAGUUGAGACUUAAAGUCAGAUUUUGACCAAGGUUUCUGGACUCCUGAGUGACCUUACCCCCUGCGGGCCUAAAGGAUCCUUGCCGAUGUCCGCCAUUUCCAUCCUGGCAGGAGGGCCCCGAGGCUUCCAAACCCGCAAACUUCCACACCAGGCAGCUGCCUCAGAAGCCUUGAGGGCAGUGCACCGUCUGCCAAACACCUGCACCCCUCGCGGUGGACAAUCAAGGGAGCUCCAUGGGGGUGAUUUUAGUAAUAAGUACAGCAACAACCCUGACGAGUGUUAAGGCUACAUCUUGCACUAGCUGCCUGGCUUGCACAGGUGUCUCAGAUCUCAUCCAUGAUGUGCAGAGAUACUAAUGUGUACUAAGGGAGCUGGUCCUGAGAACCGGAAUGGACAAGAAGUUUGAACAAUGUUAAAAACCAAUAUUAAGUAAUUAGCCGGCUGGGGUUUCUGAUGCAGUUACCAUGUGGGCCUUGCCAGCACCCAGAGAGCCCAGUGCGGUGGAAAUUCCUCCACAGGUCAGGAUGGUGAGACGUCAAGGUGCCGGUCCAUACACCAAGUUAGUAAGUCAUCUCUGAUUCUCUGCAGGACCAAUGACUCUAAGAAGGAUGCUCACAGUGCUUGUUUUUGGAGGAGCCAGCAAGAGCUUUAAUUCCCCCUGGGACACAUGAGUGAAUCUUGUAGGAGUGGUUUGUGGAAACCUCAGGUAAAGGCCUAUCAAGGCAUUUGUGUCCUUGGACAAGAGAACGGUUUGCCACACCUUACAGGAUCCAGGACAGCAGGACAUGAGGCUUUCUCGCAGAAAGAACUGCAGACUUUUCCUGGGGCAGAAAAUCUCAGCAAACCAAGAGCCACUGGACACAACAUGCAAAGUAUUGCUCUAGAUUGCAGUCUACAGUGUUUUCUUACAGAAAAGCUACUUCAUGGCUAA
rnacentral:lncRNA from 9 species